rnacentral:rRNA from 1 species
AUGAAUUUGCUUUCUUCACUUUAUAUCUUUGCCCUUGGUACUUUAUUUAUGCUAUCACUCUGUCAUUCCUUUUCUUACUCUCAGCGGGUGGAUGAAUUUGUUAUGCCAUUUCAUGUUAUAGAUCAGAUUCUAGGGAUCUUUGCUUUAUGUCUCAUUCUUUUCUCCAAACACGUUUUUUUCCCUCCGCCGUGUGUGAUCAUUUUUCCUUGCAAUUAUUGUGGUCCCAAUUCUCUGAACCAACAUGGUCCUAAGACAACCUAUGAAUUGGUUUAUCAUUCAUUCUCAUUAUUAUUAACUCCAUUACUAUUUAUGAUGUAG